AAACUGCUCCCUAAGUUUUACAACUGUAACAGUUUUGGCUCGCCAAGGCCAAUUUUUGGUAUAAAUAAAUAACACGUGGCACUUCACUUAGGGUGCCACGUCAGCGUAGUCUGAGUCAAAAUUGGCCUUUGGACCAAAACUGUCACAGAUGUAAAACUUAAGGGGCUGUUU
rnacentral:pre_miRNA from 1 species